rnacentral:rRNA from 1 species
ACGAACGCUGGCGGCAUGCCUAACACAUGCAAGUCGAACGAGACCUUCGGGUCUAGUGGCGCACGGGUGCGUAACGCGUGGGAACCUGCCCUUAGGUUCGGAAUAACUCCCCGAAAGGGGUGCUAAUACCGGAUAAUGUCUUCGGACCAAAGAUUUAUCGCCUCUGGAUGGGCCCGCGUUGGAUUAGCUAGUUGGUAGGGUAAAAGCCUACCAAGGCGACGAUCCAUAGCUGGUCUGAGAGGAUGAUCAGCCACACUGGGACUGAGACACGGCCCAGACUCCUACGGGAGGCAGCAGUGGGGAAUAUUGGACAAUGGGCGAAAGCCUGAUCCAGCAAUGCCGCGUGAGUGAUGAAGGCCUUAGGGUUGUAAAGCUCUUUUACCCGGGAUGAUAAUGACAGUACCGGGAGAAUAAGCUCCGGCUAACUCCGUG